GGGCCCGCACAAGCGGAGGAACAUGUGGUUUAAUUCGAUGAUACGCGAGGAACCUUACCCGGGCUUGAAAUGUGCCUGUAUAUUCGAGAAAUCGAAUAGCCAGCAAUGGCAGGCAUGUAGGUGCUGCAUGGUUGUCGUCAGCUCGUGCCGUGAGGUGUCGGCUUAAGUGCCAUAACGAGCGCAACCCACAUUGGAAGUUACUAACAGGUUAGGCUGAGGACUCUGCCAAGACUGCCGGCGUAAGCUGCGAGGAAGGUGUGGAUGACGUCAAAUCAGCACGGCCCUUACGUCCGGGGCGACACACGUGUUACAAUGGUCGGUACAGCGGGAGGCUACCAAGCAAUUGGACGCGGAUCCCGAAAACCGGUCCCAGUUCGGAUUGGAGUCUGCAACUCGACUCCAUGAAGCUGGAUUCGCUAGUAAUCGCGCAUCAGCCAUGGCG
rnacentral:rRNA from 1 species